AAUGGGCUUUUGUGAAGGGUGGAUAGGGUGGAUUAGGAGUUGUGUGGAAACCGCUUCUAUGUCCGUUUUGGUGAAUGAAAGUCCAACGGUGACAGGCAUAAGGCAAGAUUUAUUCGAAGAAGUCUCUAUAUGUGAUAUUGGGGUCUCCAUUUUACAAUUUUCGGAUGACACUCUAUUCCUUGGCAAGCCAACCGUGAGAAACAUUCUUACAUUGAAGAGUAUUUUAAGGAGCUUUGAAUUAGUGGAGGGGCUAAAUGUGAACUUCCAUAAAAUCAAGAUAGGUGGGGUGGCAUUGGAAUCACAACAUCUUCAAAGUUUGGUGGCCAUUUUGAAUUGUAGAAUAAUGGAGGUACCUUUCACUUUCUAGGGGAUACUGGUAGGUGCGAAUCCAAGACGAAGAGAGGCAUGGAAUCCGGUGAUCUCUAAAGUCAAAUCAAAGCUUGCUAGUUGGAGAGGUAAAUACUUGUCUUUUGGGGGUAGAAUUUUCCAUAUAAAAUCAAUUCUAUCAUCCUUGCCUCUAUAUUUUCUGUCAUUCUAUAAAGCUCCAGUAUGUGUGGUGAAGGAGUUGGAAAGGAUACAACGGAACUUUUAUGGGGUGGACUUGGGGAGGAGAGGAAAACUGCAUGGGUAAAAUGGUCUAAUGUUUGUUUAGCUAAGGACAAAGGGGGACUAGGAAUUAGGGAUAUUUCAGUUUUUAAUAAAACUCUAUUAGGAAAGUGGGGUUGGAGACUCUUAGCGGAACGUGGGGCAUUUUGGGUGAGUGAUGGAAGCAAAAUAUGGGUUGUUGCUGGGCGAGGGGAGGGGGAGAGCUAGUGAUACGAAAGCUAUCUGGUGGAGGGAUAUUCUGAGGGGUUGGUUUAGAAGCAAAGUUCAAAGGGAGGUGGGUCGAGGGGAUGAAACACUUUUUUAGGAUCAUGUCUGGGUAGGUGAGAGUUUUCCUAGGUUGUAUGCUGUUUCCUUGCAAAAGGAAGCACAUAUUAGAGAGUUGGGUCAGCUUGUAAACAAUAGGUGGUGUUGGUCAUUUUCUUGGAGGAGGAACCCUUUCGAAUGGGAAAAGGAAAGUUUGGUACAAUUGCUGGGAUCUAUACAAUCGUUCAGGGGGGGAGGAGAGCCCGGAGGAUCAAUGGAGAUGAAAAGAUGGCACAGGAAAUUCAUAUCGCGUGAAAGAAGUCUAUCAGAACUUAUGUGCAGGUGAGUUGCAAGGAAUACAGCGUGAAGAUGAUGGUAUAUAUAAAUGUAUUUGGAGUGUUAGAGCUCCAUCAAAAGCUCUGGCAUAUACAUGGAGGAUCAUGCAGGAUAGAAUUCAAUCAAGAGGCAAUCUUCUUCGAAGGAAUAUUGCAGUAUUGGAGGGUAACUAUAACUGUCCAAUCUGCAAUUCUGAGUUGCAGACCACUUCUCACGCCUUGUUCGAAUGCACGAUGGUCUAUGAUAUCUGGAUGCAAGUAUACAAGUGGCUGGGGAUCUCAACUGCUCUUCCAAAGGAUCCAGCCACUCACUAGUGGCAACACUUUGGGAUGAUUGUGGGUUCGAAAAGGAGGGAAAAGUGGUGGUUGAUGUGGCUUGCGGUAGUGUGGGAACUGUGGAGGAGGAGAAAUGAUGGAAGUGGAAACUGUCGUAGAGUUAAUUAAAGUUAAUGCAUGGAGGUGGAUAAAAGCAAGACAGAGAUUUCAUGGUGCAGCAUGGUCGGUGGUGUCAGGAACCAUUCUUGCUAAGUUGAGCAUGCAGUUAUGUAGAGGAAGGGUAGAAGACAAUACUUAUUACUGCUUUUUGGUUUAAGAAUACGGCCGUUUUGUAUGUUGGGAGGCAGAGUAUUUAUUGUUUCUAUUAUGGUUACUGGUUGUGGUAAUUAAAGAAUAGAGAGAAACCAGCAUGUAUUCUUUGUUGCAGGAAACUUUAUUAGGGAGGUGGUUUCAUUUUGUAGGAAGAACUUAUUGUGAUUUGGAGUUAGUGUUUAUUUAGUA